ACUCGCUUGUGGGCGUGCUGGCAGCAUAUGGCAACAUGUUCGAUUGUGCAUCAAGAAUUCAGCAUAGCAAGUUCGUAUGAAGGUCUGGUUAUUAAAUGGGUACAUAGUUCAAUAGUAAUAUCCUCUAAAACGCUCUGGUGACAAACUUUGCUGCCCUGUUUCCAAUUGUCCACAUGGCUGGGAGAACCUAUUCAACACUGCACAGCUGAUUCAAAUGGUCAACUCCUCAUCAAGCUGCAAGUGAUACCUUGUAACUGGAGAUUACUUCAAAAUUAUUGCCUACAGUUAACGUGUAGGGCACUGCAAGGUUGGGUGACCAGGGCUAUCUGGGACUUCCUCCUGGAGGAAUUCAGGUGUGUGAAGGCUACCUGUGUCCUGCAUAACUUCAUGUGGAUGGACACGAGAACCAGGGGGGAUCUGCAGCUCGCCGCAGUGUGCCAGAGGAGAAGUCUGCUGCUCUGCAGGAUGUUUCAAGGAUGGUGUCCAACAAUGCAACAAGAGGCAAUCCAUGUGCGAGAGAUUUUCACCUCCUAUAAUUAGACACCCUAUUACCUACACACUCAUGUCUCAAUUUGAUUGAUGGAUUGUGUUGUGCAGUAAGCAGGCUCAGGUGUAUAACUGUGUCUACUUCCACCUUAAAAGAAUAGGCAAGAGGGCCAACCAUGGAGAAUAGUAAGACACUUCAUUAUUUGUUUAACUACGCUAUAUUUUUUUGUCCUCGUGUGUCCGUUCAUGUUUUUCAGCAUAAAGUACUCCGCAGCUGCAGAUUCCUGUUUUCCCUUUAACUACCUUAUUUUCUCAAUAACAGUCUCUCUGUCACGGUUGUCGUCUGGAAUGGAGGACCAAAACGCAGCAG